UGGGGAAGCGAUCUCCUCAUGAGGCGACAUGCCAAAGAAUCGC
rnacentral:ncRNA from 1 species